UACAGAGGGUGCGAGCGUUAAUCGGAAUUACUGGGCGUAAAGCGCACGUAGGUGGCGACGUAAGUCGGGUGUGAAAGCCCCGGGCUCAACCUGGGAAUUGCAUUCGAGACUGCAUUGCUGGAGUACGGAAGAGGAAGGCGGAAUUCCCGGUGUAGCGGUGAGAUGCGUAGAUAUCGGGAGGAACAUCAGUGGCGAAGGCGGCCUUCUGGUCCAGUACUGACACUCAAGUGCGAAAGCGUGGGGAGCAAACAGG
rnacentral:rRNA from 1 species